rnacentral:rRNA from 1 species
GUGCCAGCAGCCGCGGUAAUACGUAGGUGGCGAGCGUUAUCCGGAAUUAUUGGGCGUAAAGAGCGCGCAGGUGGUUGAUUAAGUCUGAUGUGAAAGCCCACGGCUUAACCGUGGAGGGUCAUUGGAAACUGGUCAACUUGAGUGCAGAAGAGGGAAGUGGAAUUCCAUGUGUAGCGGUGAAAUGCGUAGAGAUAUGGAGGAACACCAGUGGCGAAGGCGGCUUCCUGGUCUGUAACUGACACUGAGGCGCGAAAGCGUGGGGAGCAAACAGGAUUAGAUACCCUGGUAGUCC